AAAGGAAAGGAAAGGAAAGGAAAGGAAAGGAAAGGAAAGAAANAGGAAAGGAAAGGAAAGGAAAGGAAAGGAAAGGAAAGGAAAGAAAGGGAAAGGAAAAAAAGAAGAAAAAAGAAAAGAAAAGAAAAGAAAAGAAAAGAAAAGAAAAGAAAAGAAAAGAAAAGAAAAGAAAAGAAAAGAAAAGAAAAGAAAAGAAAAGGAAAGGAAAGAAAAGA
rnacentral:lncRNA from 1 species